AGGACGAACGCUGGCGGCGUGCUUAACACAUGCAAGUCGAGCGGAAAGGCCCUUCGGGGUACUCGAGCGGCGAACGGGUGAGUAACACGUGAGUAACCUGCCCUUGGCUCUGGGAUAGCUCCGGGAAACCGGAAUUAAUACCGGAUAUGACUUCGGCCGACAUCGGCUGCGGUGGAAAGAUUUAUCGGCCAGGGAUGGGCUCGCGGCCUAUCAGCUUGUUGGUGGGGUAACGGCCUACCAAGGCGACGACGGGUAGCCGGCCUGAGAGGGCGACCGGCCACACUGGGACUGAGACACGGCCCAGACUCCUACGGGAGGCAGCAGUGGGGAAUAUUGCACAAUGGGCGAAAGCCUGAUGCAGCGACGCCGCGUGAGGGAUGACGGCCUUCGGUUGUAAACCUCUUUCAGCAGGGAAGAAGCGCAAGUGACGGUACCUGCGAGAAGAAGCACCGGCUAACUACGCGCCAGCAGCCGC
rnacentral:rRNA from 1 species